GUAGGCCUACGGGGGGCAGCAGUGGGGAAUAUUGCACAAUGGGGGGAACCCUGAUGCAGCGACGCCGCGUGAGUGAAGAAGUAUUUCGGUAUGUAAAGCUCUGUCAGCAGGGAAGAAGAAAGACGGUACCUGACCAAGAAGCCCCGGCUAACUACGUGCCAGCAGCCGCGGUAAUACGUAGGGGGCAAGCGUUAUCCGGAUUUACUGGGUGUAAAGGGAGCGUAGACGGCAGGGCAAGUCUGGAGUGAAAGGCAGGGGCCCAACCCCAGGGCUGCAUUGGGAACUGCCAGGCUGGAGUGCCGGAG
rnacentral:rRNA from 1 species